rnacentral:rRNA from 1 species
ACAACGGAGAGUUUGAUCCUGGCUCAGGAUGAACGCUGGCGGCGUGCUUAACACAUGCAAGUCGAACGAACCUUCGGGUUAGUGGCGGACGGGUGAGUAACGCGUGAGAAUCUGCCCUCAGGAGGGGGAUAACGGUUGGAAACGACCGCUAAUACCCCAUAUGCCGAUAGGUGAAAUGAAUUUCGCCUGAGGAUGAGCUCGCGUCUGAUUAGCUUGUUGGUGAGGUAAUGGCUCACCAAGGCUUCGAUCAGUAGCUGGUCUGAGAGGAUGAUCAGCCACACUGGGACUGAGACACGGCCCAGACUCCUACGGGAGGCAGCAGUGGGGAAUUUUCCGCAAUGGGCGAAAGCCUGACGGAGCAACGCCGCGUGAGGGACGAAGGCCUCUGGGCUGUAAACCUCUUUUCUCAAGGAAGAAGAUAUGACGGUACUUGAGGAAUAAGCCACGGCUAAUUCCGUGCCAGCAGCCGCGGUAAUACGGGAGUGGCAAGCGUUAUCCGGAAUUAUUGGGCGUAAAGCGUCCGCAGGCGGCCUUUCAAGUCUGCUGUUAAAGCGUGGAGCUUAACUCCAUUAUGGCAGUGGAAACUGAUCGGCUUGAGUAUGGUAGGGGCAGAGGGAAUUCCCGGUGUAGCGGUGAAAUGCGUAGAUAUCGGGAAGAACACCAGUGGCGAAGGCGCUCUGCUGGGCCAUUACUGACGCUCAUGGACGAAAGCCAGGGGAGCGAAAGGGAUUAGAUACCCCUGUAGUCCUGGCCGUAAACGAUGAACACUAGGUGUCGGGGGAAUCGACCCCUUCGGUGUCGUAGCUAACGCGUUAAGUGUUCCGCCUGGGGAGUACGCACGCAAGUGUGAAACUCAAAGGAAUUGACGGGGGCCCGCACAAGCGGUGGAGUAUGUGGUUUAAUUCGAUGCAACGCGAAGAACCUUACCAGGGUUUGACAUCCUGAGAACCUCUUAGAAAUUAGAGGGUGCCUUCGGGAAUUCAGUGACAGGUGGUGCAUGGCUGUCGUCAGCUCGUGUCGUGAGAUGUUGGGUUAAGUCCCGCAACGAGCGCAACCCACGUUUUUAGUUGCCAGCAUUUAGUUGGGCACUCUAGAAAGACCGCCGGUGAUAAACCGGAGGAAGGUGUGGAUGACGUCAAGUCAUCAUGCCCCUUACACCCUGGGCUACACACGUACUACAAUGCUACGGACAAAGGGCAGCAAACUCGCGAGAGCUAGCAAAUCCCAUAAACCGUGGCUCAGUUCAGAUCGUAGGCUGCAACUCGCCUACGUGAAGUAGGAAUCGCUAGUAAUCGCAGGUCAGCAUACUGCGGUGAAUACGUUCCCGGGCCUUGUACACACCGCCCGUCACACCAUGGAAGUUGGCCAUGCCCGAAGUCGUUACUCCAACCCUUGUGGAGGAGGACGCCGAAGGUGGGGCUAAUGACUGGGGUGAAGUCGUAACAAGGUAGCCGUACCGGAAGGUGCGGCUGGAUCACCUCCU